rnacentral:rRNA from 1 species
UACGAAGGGGGCUAGCGUUGCUCGGAAUCACUGGGCGUAAAGCGCACGUAGGCGGACUCUUAAGUCGGUGGUGAAAUCCUGGAGCUCAACUCCAGAACUGCCUUCGAUACUGGGAGUCUCGAGUCCGGGAGAGGUGAGUGGAACUGCGAGUGUAGAGGUGAAAUUCGUAGAUAUGACGCAGAACACCAAUUGCGAAGGCAGCUUGCUACACUGUUAUUGACACUGAGGCACGAAAGCGUGGGGAUCAAACAGG